GGAAUGUGGUAGGGGAGCAUUGCAUGCAGCGGAGAAGCAUGACCGAGAGGGCAUGUGGAGCGCAUGGAAGAGAGAAUGCCGGCGUGAGCAGCGGCACGUGGGUGAGAAUCCCACGCACCGAUGGCCCAAGGUCUCCAGAGGAAGGCUCGUCCUCUCUGGGAUAGUCGGGACCUAAGGCGAGGCCGAAAGGCGUAGCCGAUGGACGACGGGUGGAUAUUCCCGUACCCGAUGUGUGGCGAUGGAGUGACGGAGAAGGCUCAGGCAACCAGCUGCUGGAAUAGCUGGGGCAAGCGAGAUACCUGCGCACCAGGGAAAUCCGGUGCGCGCAAGGGGAAGGCGCGAAGCAUACGGAAAGCUGCGGCAAGUACGGAAAAGCUGAGAGCAGGCUUCCAGGAAAAGCUUCUAGCACAACACGCAUCGGCCCGUACCGAAAAUGGACACACAUGGGCAAGGAGAGAAUCCUGAGGUGAGCGAGAGAACUAUAGCUAAGGAACUCUGCAAAAUGACCCCGUAACUUAGGGAGAAGGGGUGCUCCAGAAAUGGAGCCGCAGUAAAACGGCCCAAGCGACUGUUUACCAAAAACACAGCUCUCUGCGAAGGCGCAAGCCGAAGUAUAGGGGGUGACGCCUGCCCGGUGCUGGAGGGUCAAGGGGAGCUGUCAGCGCAAGCGAAGCAGCGAGCCGAAGCCCCAGUAAACGGCGGCCGUAACAAUAACGGUCCUAAGGUAGCGAAAUUCCUUGUCGGGCAAGUUCCGACCCGCACGAAAGGCGUAACGAUUUGGGCGCUGUCUCAGCUGUAGACUCGGUGAAGUCUUAGUACCUGUGAAGAUGCAGGUUGCCCGCGACUAGACGGAAAGACCCCAUGGAGCUUCACUGCAGGUUGACAUUGGGCUUGGAUGCAUGAUGUACAGGAUAGGUGGGAGGCUGUGAGCCGUGCGCGCCAGCGUACGGGGAGCCGCUGUUGGGAUACCACCCUUCAUGCACCUAGGUCCUAACCGGAGGCAACGGGCCACGGGACAGUGUCAGUCGGGCAGUUUGACUGGGCGGUCGCCUCCCAAAGAGUAACGGAGGCGCCCAAAGAUACCCUCAGCAUGGAUGGAAACCAUGCAUAGAGUGCAAAGGCAUAAGGGUGUCUGACUGCGAGACAUACAGGUCGAGCAGGGACGAAAGUCGGGCUUAGUGAUCCGGCGGAUCCGAAUGGAAGGGCCGUCGCUCAACGGAUAAAAGCUACCCUGGGGAUAACAGGCUGAUCUCCCCCAAGAGUUCACAUCGACGGGGAGGUUUGGCACCUGAUGUCGGCUCAUCGCAUCCUGGAGCUGAAGUCGGUUCCAAGGGUUGGGCUGUUCGCCCAUUAAAGCAGUACGCGAGCUGGGUUCAGAACGUCGUGAGACAGUUCGGUCCCUAUCUGUCGUGGGCGCAGGAGGUUUGAGGAGAGCUGCCCCUAGUACGAGAGGACCGGGGUGGACGGACCGAUGGUGCACCAGUUGUCACGCCAGUGGCACAGCUGGGCAGCCAAGUCCGGACGGGAUAAGCGCUGAAGGCAUCUAAGCGUGAAGCCCCCUCCAAGAUGAGACCUCCCAUUGGCGACAAGUAAGGCCCCUCGAAGACGACGAGGUUGAUAGGCCGCGAGUGCAAGCGCAGCGAUGUGCUUAGCGGGGCGGUACUAAUAGGCCGAGGACUUGGCCG
rnacentral:rRNA from 1 species